CAUUUCCAUUAUUCAAUAUAAAUUUAUUUGACAUGUUGCUAACGAAAAGAUUUUAUUUAUAAAACUGUCUGUGAAGCAUUUAUUAUCUUUAAAAUCUAUAAUGUAAUUAAAAUUUAAUAUGAGUGAGUGGGCGAGGAAGAUGUUGGACUAGGGUUUAAAAGAUGAAAAACAGUGAACUAUUCAUUGCUUUUAUCGAUGGUGGACGGUUUACCGCUUUUAAAAGUGGUGAACAACUCACAAUUUUUAAACGUGGUGAAUGAUUUACCGCAUAUGAAUGCGAUAAACUAUUCACCACUUCUAUCGAUUUUAUGACCCAACAAGUUGGGAUAAAAAUCUUAUAAAUGUAGUAUGCGGUGAAUCAUUCACCGUCUUUAUUAUUUUUAUUACCCAAAAGUUGAGCCGGUAGAUUUGAAGCCUAGUUUUAUACAUAAAUUUUAUAGAAGACUUUUUAAAAUUCGAAUAUUUCAUGAGAUUAAUUCUUAAAAAAAUUUUGAAGAAAAUCUAUUAUGUAGCAGGUAUACUAUAUUAUCUAUAUCUAACGUCUCUUCUUUUAAGGAAAAAUAAAAUAAUUUUUUUAAAAAAUUAUAAUGAAAUAAAUGAAUUUAAAAAAAAGUGAUUUGAUUGUUUGGAGACACAAGACCAUUAUUUUUUUAUUAAUUUUUUUUUUUUAUGUGAUGGGGCUACAAAUUUUCUCAUUUAAUGUAUAUUUUAAAUAAAUUAAAAUUUAAA
rnacentral:lncRNA from 1 species